AGUUGAUCCUGGGCUCAGAACGAAUGCUUAGCGGCGUGGAUAAGACAUGCAAGUCGAGCGCUCAUUUCGGGGUAGUAAUAUUCUGAAGUGGGAGCGGCGCAAUGGUGCGUAACACGUGGGUAAUUUGCCGUGAAGUUGGGGAUAACUCGCUGAAAGGCGAGCUAAUACCGAAUGUGAUUGCAAGAGGGCAUCCUCUCGGGACUAAAGGUGGGGAUCUUCGGACCUGCCGCUUCAUGAUAAGCCCGCGGCCUAUCAGCUUGUUGGUGAGGUAAAAGCUCACCAAGGCUAAGACGGGUAACUGGUCUGAGAGGACGGUCGGUCACACUGGAACUGAGACACGGUCCAGACACCUACGGGUGGCAGCAGUCGAGAAUCAUUCACAAUGGGCGAAAGCCUGAUGGUGCGACGCCGCGUGGGGGAUGAAGUGCUUCGGUAUGUAAACCCCUGUCAUCUGCGAGCAAACCUUUUCGGUUAACACCUGGAAAGCUGAUAGUAGCAGAAGAGGAAGGGACGGCUAACUCUGUGCCAGCAGCCGCGGUAAUACAGAGGUCCCAAGCGUUGUUCGGAUUCACUGGGCGUAAAGGGUGCGUAGGCGGCAUGGCAAGUUUGGUGUGAAAGCUCCGAGCUCAACUCGGAAAUUGCACUGAAAACUGCCAAGCUCGAGGAUCGGAGGGGAGAGUGGAAUUCUUGGUGUAGCAGUGAAAUGCGUAGAUAUCAAGAGGAACACCGGUGGCGAAGGCGACUCUCUGGACGAUUCCUGACGCUGAGGCACGAAGGCUAGGGGAGCAAACAGGAUUAGAUACCCUGGUAGUCCUAGCAGUAAACGGUGUGCACUUGCUGUAGGAGGAUUCGACCCCUUCUGUGGCGGAGCUAACGUGUUAAGUGCACCGCCUGGGGAGUACGGUCGCAAGAUUAAAACUCAAAGAAAUUGACGGGGGCCUGCACAAGCGGUGGAGUAUGUGGCUUAAUUCGAUGCAACGCGAAGAACCUUACCUGGGUUUGACAUGUGUCUAGUAGAAGGGUGAAAGCCUGACGAGGUAGCAAUACCAGCGUACACAGGUGCUGCAUGGCUGUCGUCAGCUCGUGUCGUGAGAUGUUGGGUUAAGUCCCGCAACGAGCGCAACCCUUGUGUCCUGUUGCCACUCCUACGAGAGUAGGAAGCACUCUGGACAGACUGCCCCGUCUAAACGGGGAGGAAGGUGGGGAUGACGUCAAGUCAGUAUGGCCCUUACGGCCAGGGCUGCACACGUACUACAAUGCCCAGUACAAAAGGAAGCAAGACCGCAAGGUGGAGCAAAUCCCCAAAACUGGGCCCAGUUCGGAUUGUCGUCUGCAACUCGACGGCAUGAAGUUGGAAUCGCUAGUAAUGGCGCAUCAGCUACGGCGCCGUGAUACGUUCCCAGGCAUUGUACACACUG
rnacentral:rRNA from 1 species